rnacentral:rRNA from 1 species
AAAAGUCGUAACAAGGUUUCCGUAGGUGAACCUGCGGAAGGAUCAUUAUCGUACAACGAAGGUGUGAGGGUUGUCGCUGACCCUCGAAAGGUCGUGCACGCCCAAUCGCUCUCGACACACACAUCCAUCUCACCCCCUUUUGUGCAUCUCCGCGUGGGUCCCCUUUUCGAAAAAGGGGGCCUGCGUUUUUACAUCAAACUUUGACUUAGUGUAGAAUGUCAUUUUUUCUUUUUGCGAUCAUACGCAAUCAAUACAACUUUCAACAACGGAUCUCUUGGCUCUCGCAUCGAUGAAGAACGCAGCGAAAUGCGAUACGUAAUGUGAAUUGCAGAAUUCAGUGAAUCAUCGAAUCUUUGAACGCACCUUGCGCCCCUUGGAAUUCCGAGGGGCACACCCGUUUGAGUGUCGUGAAAUUCUCAAAAGCCCUUUUCUUUUUUGAAGUAAGGUUUUUUGGACUUGGAGGAUCUUAUGCACGCUUUCAAGAAAAAGAAAGCGAGCUCCUCUAAAAUGGAUUAGUGAGGUUCGACUUGUCGGUCCUUGACGUGAUACGUUUGCUUCUACGUAUUGGAUUUGACGUGCGAUCGGUUCUAACCCGUCUCAUUGACGACGAUGGUGCUCCGGUCGCCCCCCUUGCCGCCCGUGUGGCGGUGGGAGGCUGGACCCACAAAUUUAAAACCCCUUGACCUCAAAUCGGGUGAGACUACCCGCUGAACUUAAGCAUAUCAAUAA